rnacentral:rRNA from 1 species
GAUGAACGCUGGCGGCGUGCCUAAUACAUGCAAGUCGAGCGAACAGACGAGGAGCUUGCUCCUCUGACGUUAGCGGCGGACGGGUGAGUAACACGUGGAUAACCUACCUAUAAGACUGGGAUAACUUCGGGAAACCGGAGCUAAUACCGGAUAAUAUAUUGAACCGCAUGGUUCAAUAGUGAAAGACGGUUUUGCUGUCACUUAUAGAUGGAUCCGCGCCGCAUUAGCUAGUUGGUAAGGUAACGGCUUACCACGGCGACGAUGCGUAGCCGACCUGAGAGGGUGAUCGGCCACAAUGGAGCUGAGACACGGUCCAGACUCCUACGGGAGGCAGCAGUAGGGAAUCUUCCGCAAUAGGCGAAAGCCUGACGGAGCAACGCCGCGUGAUUGAUGAAGGUCUUCGGAUCGUAAAACUCUGUUAUUAGGGAAGAACAAAUGUGUAAGUAACUAUGCACGUCUUGACGGUACCUAAUCAGAAAGCCACGGCUAACUACGUG